ensembl:lncRNA LOC102549668 uncharacterized LOC102549668
UAAAAACUCUCCUCUGUUGUAUACGUUGCUGAGCGUCCAAGCCAGACAUUUGGGAACACUGUAGAUGUUCAUAGUCCAUUACAACGGAAGUCAGGACGGGAACUCAAGCAGGGAUGGAGCCUGGAGGCAGGACCUGAGGCAGAGGCCGUGGAGGGUGCUGCCUAAUGAUUUGUUCAGCCUGCUUUCUCCUGGAACCCCCAAGACCACCAGCUCAGAGGUGGCACCACCAACAAUGAACUGGACUCUUUCCUAUCAAUCACUAAUUAAGAAAAUGCCCUAACAGUUGAAUCUUACGGAGACCUUCUUUUGCAUUGAGAUUCUGUCUUUUCAGAUGACUGUAGCAUUUGCCGUGCUGACAUAAAACUAGCCAGCAUGGCUAUGAAUUCAUUCUACAUUUAUGGAGACUAUAAAAAAACAAAAAGAGGACAGACUGCCUCAGCUACACAUUUCAACAACAGCUACCCAACUUACUCAGCUGACUGGAUGGUGAAUGGCAGGCAAACAUUGGUAGCGCUUUCCCAACUCUGACUCAGUCUCCCUCAUUUCCUCUACUGUCGCUGGUGGUGACUUCACAAGGCGGUCUCUCCUUGGGGACUGCCACUCAUUUCCUAAGAUGUCUCGAUUCAUGCUGGGGUCUGCCAACUGAGGAAGGAAAAGGAGAACUGACACUUGGCCUGCAAGCCCAACCUACAGGGACUGCUGCCCACUGAGACUACCCUGUAACGUGAGACCUACCUCCCUCCUCCCAGCACUGAACUCACAAGAUGCUUGCAUUCACUGGUUUGAUACAUGGGACUCUACCCCCCCCCCCCCCACUCCCGCCAUAGCCACCCCCUUUCUU